UACGGAGGGGGCAAGCGUUAUUCGGAAUUAUUGGGCGUAAAGGGCGCGUAGGCGGCUAGAUGUGUCAAAGGUGAAAUCCCUCGGCUCAACUGAGGAACUGCCUUUGAAACUGUCUGGCUUGAGGCCGGGAGAGGGUAGCGGAAUUCCCAGUGUAGCGGUGAAAUGCGUAGAUAUUGGGAGGAACACCAGUGGCGAAGGCAGGUUACUACUAAUGGAUUGACGCUGAUGGACGAAAGCGUGGGUAGCGAACAGG
rnacentral:rRNA from 1 species